rnacentral:misc_RNA from 1 species
UUAAGUUCAGCGGGUAGUCCUACCUGAUUUGAGGUCAGAUUUCAAAGUUUGUUGCUUGACCGCCACUCUGAUAGGCAGGUCGAGGGAGGGCGCGGAAGGGGAACGUCUCUGUCGAGCGAGGAUGGUACAACGCCCAGUCGAGUUCGACCCACAGGCCCAACCGAUGCAUUUGAGGGGAGCCGCCUCGCGGCAGCAGAGCC